UACGGAGGGCGCAAGCGGUGUUCGGAAUCACUGGGCGUAAAGCGCGUGUAGGCGGCUUGGUAAGUCGGGUGUGAAAGCCCGGGGCCUAACCCCGGAACUGCACUCGAAACUGCCUCGCUCGAGUCCCGGAGAGGAUGGUGGAAUUCCCGGUGUAGUGGUGAAAUACGUAGAUAUCGGGAGGAACACCAGCGGCGAAGGCGGCCAUCUGGACGGUGACUGACGCUGAGACGCGAAAGCGUGGGGAGCAAACAGG
rnacentral:rRNA from 1 species